rnacentral:tRNA from 1 species
GGGAAUAUAGCUCAAUUGGUAGAGUGCUUGCCUUGCAUGUAAAAGAUACUGGGUUCAAUCCCCAGCACCACCA